rnacentral:sRNA from 1 species
UUAGGGGAUAGGGUAGCUCCCGAAAAGCUGGAUCUCCACAGCCUGCCCCUGUCUGAUAAUUAAGG